rnacentral:rRNA from 1 species
AUUGAACGCUGGCGGCAGGCCUAACACAUGCAAGUCGAACGAGUGGCGGACGGGUGAGUAAUGUCUGGGAAACUGCCCGAUGGAGGGGGAUAACUACUGGAAACGGUAGCUAAUACCGCAUACCAUCGGAUGUGCCCAGAUGGGAUUAGCUAGCAGGUGGGGUAAAGGCUCACCUAGGCGACGAUACCUAGCUGGUCUGAGAGGAUGACCAGCCACGCUGGAACUGAGACACGGUCCUGACGCCGACGUGAGGCAGCAGAGGGAGAUGUUGCACAAUGGGCGCAAGCCUGAUGCAGCCAGGCCGCGUGUAUGAAGAAGGCCUUCGGGUUGUAAAGUACUUUCAGCGGGGAGGCGUUACCCGCAGAAGAAGCACCGGCUGACUCCGUGCCAGCAGCCGCGGUAAUAC